rnacentral:rRNA from 1 species
AGCGAACGCUGGCGGCAGGCCUAACACAUGCAAGUCGAACGAACCUUUCGGGGUUAGUGGCGGACGGGUGAGUAACACGUGGGACCGUGCCUUUAGGUUCGGAAUAACUCAGGGAAACUUGUGCUAAUACCGAAUGAGUCCUUCGGGGGAAAGAUUUAUCGCCUUUAGGGAGGCCCGCGUCUGUUUAGCUAGUUGGUUGAGGUAAUGGCUCACCAAGGCGACGAUCAGUAGAUGGUCUGAGAGAAUGAGCAGACACAUUGGGACUGAGACACGGCCCAAACUCUUACGGGAGGCAGCAGUGGGGAAUCUAGCGCAAUGGGCGAAAGCCUGACGCAGUCAUGGCGGGUGAAUGAUGAAGUUCUUAGGAAAGUAAAAUUCUUUCACCGGGGACGAUAAUGACGGUACCCGGAGAAGAAGCCCCGGCUAACUUCGUG